CUUGGACUGUACACCUGGACCAGUGCUAAGAAGAGCCCAUGGCACCUCAGAAUAGACUUCAUGCUGAGCCUUCCAUGUGAAUAUGUCAGUGACUGGUUUUAUGCUUUGAAGAAUAAGCUAAGACAGCCAGUCAAAACAAUACCACAUUGGGGUGGUAGGAAUGACAGAAGAUCUGAACCAAUAUUAAACGUCUAAAUGAAUGAAGCCCUUUACUCUUCAUUGGUUUCCUAUCAAAGAAAUGGAAAAGAAAAGAAAAAGACAUGGUCAAAGGAGGAAGAUUGACCCAACAUUGGACUUACAAACCUCCAAAUCAGCCCGAGAGGGAAGGCGCUGUGAUCGACAACUGAUUUGAGCAGUGCAACUGCUAAUCUUGAUAUGUGAACUUCACUGAAUUAAAAACACCUAGCAUACCCAAAGGGCAUGUUCCUGGGUGUGCUCUGCUGACUCAUCAGGCGUGGCCUGAACUGUGCCUCUUCUCUGCUCCUGAGCCGUCAUGGGCUAAGCAGCUUUGCUCUGCCACCCAUUCCUGUUCUGAAGGCCUGCCUUGGCACCAGACGGCCCUGGACUAAAUUCUCUCAAAUUUAAGAGCCAAAUUAAUCCUUUCUUCUUCCAAAUUGUGUCAGGUAUUGUGUCUUGAUUGAUUCAUAUAAGAAGAAUGAAGGUGAGAACUCUGGUACGAAAGCAAUACAAAUAUUCAAGAAACUAGUUGGCAUCAACCUGUUU
rnacentral:lncRNA from 1 species